rnacentral:rRNA from 1 species
UACGGGGGGGGCAAGCGUUGUUCGGAAUUACUGGGCGUAAAGGGCGCGUAGGCGGUUCGCUAAGUUGAAUGUGAAAACUCUGGGCUUAACCCAGAGCCUGCAUUCAAUACUGACGGGCUAGAGUUCUGGAGGGGAUAGCGGAAUUCCUGGUGUAGCGGUGAAAUGCGUAGAUAUCAGGAGGAACACCGGUGGCGAAGGCGGCUAUCUGGACAGAGUCUGACGCUGAGGCGCGAAAGCUAGGGGAGCAAACAGG